AAUAGAUACCCGGGUAGUCCUAGCCGUAAAUGAUACUCGCUAGGUGUCGGCCACGGUGCGACCGUUGUCGGUGCCGUAGGGAAGCCGUGAAGCGAGCCACCUGGGAAGUACGGCCGCAAGGCUGAAACUUAAAGGAAUUGGCGGGGGAGCACCACAACGGGUGGAGCUUGCGGUUUAAUUGGAUUCAACGCCGGAAAUCUUACCGGGACCGACAGCAAUAUGAAGGCCAGGCUGAAGACUUUGCCGGAUUAGCUGAGAGGUGGUGCAUGGCCGUCGUCAGUUCGUACUGUGAAGCAUCCUGUUAAGUCAGGCAACGAGCGAGACCCACGCCCACAGUUGCCAGCGUACUCUCUGGAGUGACGGGUACACUGUGGGGACCGCCGCUGCUAAAGCGGAGGAAGGAAUGGGCAACGGUAGGUCAGUAUGCCCCGAAUAUCCCGGGCUACACGCGAGCUACAAUGGUUGGUACAAUGGGUAUCUACCCCGAAAGGGGACGGGAAUCUCCUAAAACCAAUCUUAGUUCGGAUUGAGGGCUGCAACUCGCCCCUCA
rnacentral:rRNA from 1 species